AGAGAGAGACAUGCGCGCAUAUCAAUAAGCGGAGGAAAAGAAACUAACAAGGAUUCCCCUAGUAACGGCGAGUGAAGCGGGAAGAGCUCAAAUUUGAAAUCUUAAAGGGUUUCCCUUUACGAAUUGUAGUUUAAAGAAGUGUUUUCUGUUGAGGUUUUGGUAAAGGUUCUUUGGAAUAGGACAUCAUAGAGGGUGAGAAUCCCGUAUUUGACCUUUACUUUCAACUCUGUGAUACACUUUCAAGGAGUCGGAUUGUUUGGGAAUGCAGUCCAAAAUGGGUGGUAAAUUUCAUCUAAAGCUAAAUAUUGGCGAGAGACCGAUAGCGAACAAGUACCGUGAGGGAAAGAUGAAAAGAACUUUGAAAAGAGAGUUAAACAGUACGUGAAAUUGUCAAAAGGGAAGCGUUUGACACCAGUGUUGUUUUUCUGAAAAUCAAUUAAAGAACUGUUUAUGCUAAGUCUGUUUAGACUUUAUCAGCUAAUCUGUUUAGUUUUGAGCUUUUCUUUAAUGCACUUUUCAGUUAACAAGUCAACAUCAAUUUCUUUUGCUGUAAAAAAGCUUGAGGAAGGUGGCUUGAGAUUCGUCUUAAGUGUUUAUAGCCUCUUGCCUAUGCAGUCGGAGAGAUUGAGGUCUGCAGCGUAGAUCCUUCGGGGCUAAAUGCAUUUGUGCUAAGUUAUAGCAUUUUAUAGACAACUUGUUGACUAUGAUUUGUCUUGUAGCUUACUCGCUUAUGUUAUUUUACCUACGCUUAGGAUGUUGACGCAUGAGAUAUACGC
rnacentral:rRNA from 1 species